rnacentral:rRNA from 1 species
UACGGAGGGUGCAAGCGUUGUUCGGAAUUACUGGGCGUAAAGCGCGUGUAGGCGGACUCGGAAGUCGGGUGUGAAAGCCCCGGGCUUAACUCGGGAAGUGCGCUCGAAACCACGGGUCUUGAGGUCCGGAGGGGAUCGGGGAAUUCCUGGUGUAGAGGUGAAAUUCGUAGAUAUCAGGAGGAACACCGGCGGCGAAGGCGCCGAUCUGGACGGAUUCUGACGCUGAGACGCGAAAGCGUGGGUAGCAAAC